rnacentral:ncRNA from 1 species
UUGAUUACGUCCCUGCCCUUUGUACACACCGCCCGUCGCUAUCCGGGAACUGAACUGAUUCGAGAAGAGUGGGGACUGUGGCUGCGAGGUUUUACCACUUCGCAGUUGCGGAAAACCAUUUUUAUCGCAUUGGUUUGAACCGGGUAAAAGUCGUAACAAGGUAGCUGUAGAUGAACCUGCAGCUGGAUCAUCG